UACGGAGGGUGAAGCGUUAUCCGGAUUUCCUGGGUUUAAAGGGUGUGUAGGCGGACUUUUAAGUCAGCGGUGAAAUCUCCGGGCUCAACCCGGAAACUGCCAUUGAUACUAUUGGUCUUGAAUGUUGUUGAGGUGGGCGGAACGGGUCAUGUAGCGGUGAAAUGCAUAGAUAUGACCCGGAACACCGAUUGCGUAGGCAGCCCACUAAGCAACGAUUGACGCUGAGGCACGAAAGCGUGGGGAUCAAACAGG
rnacentral:rRNA from 1 species